UACGAAGGGUGCAAACAUUGCUCGGAAUUAUUGGGCGUAAAGCGCACGUAGGCGGCUUUGCAAGUCCCAUGUGAAAGCCCACGGCUUAACCGUGGAAGUGCAUGGGAAACUGCAGAGCUUGAGUACUUAAGAGGAUCGCGGAAUUCCCGGUGUAGAGGUGAAAUUCGUAGAUAUCGGGAGGAACACCAGUGGCGAAGGCGGCAACCUGGACCAAUAUUGACGCUGAGGUGCGAAAAGCGUGGGGAGCAAACAGGG
rnacentral:rRNA from 1 species